AGUGAACGCUGGCGGUAGGCCUAACACAUGCAAGUCGAACGGCAGCACAAGGGAGCUUGCUCCCUGGGUGGCGAGUGGCGGACGGGUGAGGAAUACAUCGGAAUCUACCUUGUCGUGGGGGAUAACCUCGGGAAACCGGGACUAAUACCGCAUACGACCUCGGUGAAGUAGGGAGUCGCAAGACCUUACGCGAUUAGAUG
rnacentral:rRNA from 1 species